rnacentral:rRNA from 1 species
GAUGAACGCUGGCGGCGUGCCUAAUACAUGCAAGUCGAGCGAACAGAUGAGGAGCUUGCUCCUCUGACGUUAGCGGCGGACGGGUGAGUAACACGUGGAUAACCUACCUAUAAGACUGGGAUAACUUCGGGAAACCGGAGCUAAUACCGGAUAAUAUAUUGAACCGCAUGAUUCAAUAGUGAAAGACGGUUUUGCUGUCUCUUAUAGAUGGAUCCGCGCCGCAUUAGCUAGUUGGUAAGGUAACGGCUUACCAAGGCAACGAUGCGUAGCCGACCUGAGAGGGUGAUCGGCCACACUGGAACUGAGACACGGUCCAGACUCCUACGGGAGGCAGCAGUAGGGAAUCUUCCGCAAUGGGCGAAAGCCUGACGGAGCAACGCCGCGUGAGUGAUGAAGGUCUUCGGAUCGUAAAACUCUGUUAUUAGGGAAGAACAAAUGUGUAAGUAACUAUGCACGUCUUGACGGUACCUAAUCAGAAAGCCACGGCUAACUACGUG